CCCCGGGCCCGGCGGCCGGGACGGGGUCGUAAAAACACACCACAUGCUCCAUUUGGAAUCUGGAACAUUCGGUGUCCGAGUUGUAAUUUGAAGAAGGUAACUUUGGAGUUGGCUCUUGUCUAUGUUCCUUGGAACAGGACGUCACAGAGGGUGAGAAUCCCGUGCGAUGAGAUGCCCAAUUCUAUGUAAAGUGCUUUCGAAGAGUCGAGUUGUUUGGGAAUGCAGCUCUAAGUGGGUGGUAAAUUCCAUCUAAAGCUAAAUAUUGGCGAGAGACCGAUAGCGAACAAGUACAGUGAUGGAAAGAUGAAAAGAACUUUGAAAAGAGAGUGAAAAAGUACGUGAUAUUGUUGAAAGGGAAGGGCUUGAGAUAAAACUUGGUAUUUUGCGAUCCUUUCCUUCGUGGUUGGGUUCCUCCCUGGCUGCUGGGUGGGCCUUCGUUUUUUUGGAUCAGUACUACCUAACGAGUGUGUCCCUCCUCCGCGUGAGAGGAAUAUACUAGGGUUGGAUAGAUAGUCCCGAGCAAGACGACGGACNCUUUGUUUUAAANAAGGAUAUCGCGNUAUUUUUUUUUACCCCCCCCUCUAAAANAAAAAAACAAA
rnacentral:rRNA from 1 species